GGGGUCUGGUGCAAUAAUGAUUGCAGAUCUUCUCUGGCCGAAUUACGCUCUCCGCGUGUCCCACUCACCAUGGCAGGCGGCUGAAAAUGGAUGACACCUAACAAAAUUAUUAUUGCACCGUACCUAGAGCCACGCCCCAGUGAGAAUUCUGAAAAAAUCUUUUCGGAUCGCUUUGAUUUGAAAAGACUCUGACACCAGCAUGCCAAACGCC
rnacentral:lncRNA from 1 species